rnacentral:ncRNA from 1 species
GGUAUCGGGAGAGACCGCCCAGGCGGCGCCGAAGGGGACUGGCAGGGAAACUCUCAGGCAAACGUACCGGUAC